rnacentral:rRNA from 1 species
GACGAACGCUGGCGGCGCGCCUAACACAUGCAAGUCGAACGGAGCUGUUUUCUCUGAAGUUUUCGGAUGGAAGAGAGUUCAGCUUAGUGGCGAACGGGUGAGUAACACGUGAGCAACCUGCCUUUCAGUGGGGGACAACAUUUGGAAACGAAUGCUAAUACCGCAUAAGACCACAGUGUCGCAUGGCACAGGGGUCAAAGGAUUUAUCCGCUGAAAGAUGGGCUCGCGUCCGAUUAGCUAGAUGGUGAGGUAACGGCCCACCAUGGCGACGAUCGGUAGCCGGACUGAGAGGUUGAACGGCCACAUUGGGACUGAGACACGGCCCAG